GAUGAACGCUGGCGGCGUGCUUAACACAUGCAAGUCGAACGGUAAGGCCCUUCGGGGUACACGAGUGGCGAACGGGUGAGUAACACGUGGGUGAUCUGCCCUGCACUUCGGGAUAAGCCUGGGAAACUGGGUCUAAUACCGGAUAGGACCACUGCCUGCAUGGGUGGUGGUGGAAAGCUUUUGCGGUGUGGGAUGGGCCCGCGGCCUAUCAGCUUGUCGGUGGGGUGAUGGCCUACCAAGGCGACGACGGGUAGCCGGCCUGAGAGGGUGACCGGCCACACUGGGACUGAGAUACGGCCCAGACUCCUACGGGAGGCAGCAGUGGGGAAUAUUGCACAAUGGGCGCAAGCCUGAUGCAGCGACGCCGCGUGAGGGAUGACGGCCUUCGGGUUGUAAACCUCUUUCAGCAUCGACGAAGCGAAAGUGACGGUAGGUGCAGAAGAAGGACCGGCCAACUACGUGCCAGCAGCCGCGGUAA
rnacentral:rRNA from 1 species